GCAGAGGUAGCUCAGUUGGUAGAGCACCCGGCUGUUAACCGGUGGUGUCAUAGGUUCAAAUCCUAUCCUUUUGGUUGUGCGA
rnacentral:tRNA from 1 species